ensembl:misc_RNA
GAGAUUGUCGGACAGUGAAGGACUCUGUUUACCCAUGGAACAGGUACAGUAUGUUGCUUCCCUUACACUGCCUGCACCCUGAGCUGGAGGGAGGGCCCAUUGCUAGGGGUCAGAGGGCAGUGCAGUCUCCAUGGCUCCCAUUCAAUCCUUGGCUUCU